rnacentral:rRNA from 1 species
GAUGAACGCUGGCGGCGUGCCUAAUACAUGCAAGUCGAGCGAACAGACGAGGAGCUUGCUCCUCUGACGUUAGCGGCGGACGGGUGAGUAACAUGUGGAUAACCUACCUAUAAGACUGGGAUAACUUCGGGAAACCGGAGCUAAUACCGGGUAAUAUAUUGAACCGCAUGGUUCAAUAGAGAAAGACGGUUUUGCUGUCACUUAUAGAUGGAUCCGCGCCGCAUUAGCUAGUUGGUAAGGUAACGGCUUACCAAGGCAACGAUGCGUAGCCGACCUGAGAGGGUGAUCGGCCACACUGGAACUGAGACACGGUCCAGACUCCUACGGGAGGCAGCAGUAGGGAAUCUUCCGCAAUGGGCGAAAGCCUGACGGAGCAACGCCGCGUGAGUGAUGAAGGUCUUCGGAUCGUAAAACUCUGUUAUUAGGGAAGAACAAAUGUGUAAGUAACUAUGCACGUCUUGACGGUACCUAAUCAGAAAGCCACGGCUAACUACGUG